GGGCCCGCACAAGCGGUGGAGUAUGUGGUUUAAUUCGAUGCAACGCGAAGAACCUUACCAGGGUUUGACAUCCUGCGAAUCUCUUGGAAACGAGAGAGUGCCUUCGGGAGCGCAGUGACAGGUGGUGCAUGGCUGUCGUCAGCUCGUGUCGUGAGAUGUUGGGUUAAGUCCCGCAACGAGCGCAACCCACGUCUUUAGUUGCCAGCAUUUAGUUGGGCACUCUAGAGAGACCGCCGGUGAUAAACCGGAGGAAGGUGUGGAUGACGUCAAGUCCUCAUGGCCCUUACGUGUUGGGCUACACACGUGCUACAAUGGUAUCUACAACAGGAAGCAAGACUGCGAAGUUAAGCAAAUCCUUAAAAGAUACCUCAGUUCGGAUUGCACUCUGCAACUCGAGUGCAUGAAGCUGGAAUUACUAG
rnacentral:rRNA from 1 species